UACAGAGGGGGCAAGCGUUGUUCGGAAUUACUGGGCGUAAAGGGCGCGUAGGCGGCCCGCUAAGUCGAACGUGAAAUCCCAGGGCUCAACCCGGGAACUGCGUCCGAUACUGGUGGGCUCGAAUCCGGGAGAGGGAUGCGGAAUUCCAGGUGUAGCGGUGAAAUGCGUAGAUAUCUGGAGGAAUACCGGUGGCGAAGGCGGCAUCCUGGACCGGCAUUGACGCUGAGGAGCGAAAGCUAGGGGAGCAAACGGG
rnacentral:rRNA from 1 species